rnacentral:lncRNA from 1 species
AUGUGGCCAUUGUUUAUUGCGUUUUGAAGAGCACUCGCUUCGUCUUUCCAACAAGACGCAUAGGUUCGGCGCUCCGAUUAGCAUUUAAACUGUCGUCUUCUCGGAAGCAGGCACUGAUCCUUGGAGACCUGCAGAGCGCAAACUGCAGCAUGUAUGCCGAAAUAAACAGCUAUUGCCUAUUUCAAA